GACGAACGCUGGCGGCGUGCUUAACACAUGCAAGUCGAACGGAAAGGCCCUGCUUUGGUGGGGUGCUCGAGUGGCGAACGGGUGAGUAACACGUGAGUAACCUGCCCUUGACUUUGGGAUAACUUCAGGAAACUGGGGCUAAUACCGGAUAGGAGCUCCUGCUGCAUGGUGGGGGUUGGAAAGUUUCGGCGGUUGGGGAUGGACUCGCGGCUUAUCAGCUUGUUGGUGGGGUAGUGGCUUACCAAGGCUUUGACGGGUAGCCGGCCUGAGAGGGUGACCGGCCAAACUGGGAUUGGGAUACGGCCCAGACUCCUCCGGGAGGCAGCAGUGGGGAAUAUUGCACAAUGGGCGGAAGCCUGAUGCAGCAACGCCGCGUGCGGGAUGACGGCCUUCGGGUUGUAAACCGCUUUCGCCUGUGACGAAGCGUGAGUGACGGUAAUGGGUAAAGAAGCACCGGCUAACUACGUG
rnacentral:rRNA from 1 species